GACGAACGCUGGCGGCGUGCUUAACACAUGCAAGUCGAACGGAAAGGCCCUGCUUUUGUGGGGUGCUCGAGUGGCGAACGGGUGAGUAACACGUGAGUAACCUGCCCUUGACUUUGGGAUAACUUCAUGAAACUGGGGCUAAUACCGGAUAGGAGCUCCUGCUGCAUGGUGGGGGUUGGAAAGUUUCGGCGGUUGGGGAUGGACUCGCGGCUUAUCAGCUUGUUGGUGGGGUAGUUGCUUACCAAGGCUUUGACGGGUAGCCGGCCUGAGAGGGUGACCGGCCACAUUGGGACUGAGAUACGGCCCAGACUCCUACGGGAGGCAGCAGUGGGGAAUAUUGCACAAUGGGCGGAAGCCUGAUGCAGCAACGCCGCGUGCGGGAUGACGGCCUUCGGGUUGUAAACCGCUUUCGCCUGUGACGAAGCGUGAGUGACGGUAAUGGGUAAAGAAGCACCGGCUAACUACGUG
rnacentral:rRNA from 1 species